GGAAGCCAAGAAGAUGAGACAAAUGCCUAAAUGCAGAGAGGUGAAUUCCUGUUGGACAAUUUAACCCGAACUGCCUGGAAGUCUUCUCAACUGUGCGAAUGUGCCCAAGCACAACUUUUGCAGAUCAGAAAGUGAAGGCACUCUGGUCAGAUAUUCCCUUCCUGAUAAGAACGCUGACCUCAGAGUCAUAAAUGAAAGACCAAGAAAGGGAGAGGAAAAGAGACAGGAAUUCAAGACUCAUCAGAAAUGUUGGCCACAAGGGAAAUAAGCACAAGCCAAUCUGAAGUGGUGAUAUACUGAUGCCCAGAGACCAAUCUCAGUACCUCACGCCAGCCGACAGUCGCAUGCGGGAAGAAACCUAAAUGCAUCAGCUCUGUCCAGUUGCCUUGUUUAAUACUGUC